GGUGAAGUGUCCGAGUGGCUGAAGGAGCUCGCCUGGAAAGCGGGUAUACGGGAGACCGUAUCGAGAGUUCGAAUCUCUCCUUCACCG
rnacentral:tRNA from 2 species